GAGAAAACAACUUCUCUAUUAAUUUGAAAGGAUCAUCGUAGAAAUAGAAGACAUAGAAAUGACCACAGAGCGCCAACUGAGGGUUUGUUUCAAGACUUUUAUAUCAUCUGCUGUUAGUCUACAUGAGCUGCACAUUCCUGUCGAAGGUCUUCAUGUGAAAUGAGCUGCAUGAUUUACACGAGUGUAGUCCCAUCACACUUAAAUCCACACAGCUCUCAGACUCGUGUGUUCCCACGUUAACUGUUUCAUCCAUUACUCCAGGUCUCUGUGAAGCAGUUUAUCCCCCUGCACCUGUUUAUCUCUUCAGUCCAGGAACUCCAGGCUUUGAUCAGCACCACAAAACUUAACACAAAUACCCCCACUGAGAGCUGAUUAUAUGGACGCGCCGCACACAAACAUCCAAAGAGUGCACACAUAAAAGUGAGUCAGCGUUU